AUUGAACGCUGGCGGCAUGCUUUACACAUGCAAGUCGAACGGUAACAGGUCUUCGGAUGCUGACGAGUGGCGAACGGGUGAGUAAUACAUCGGAACGUGCCUAGUAGUGGGGGAUAACUACUCGAAAGAGUAGCUAAUACCGCAUGAGAUCUACGGAUGAAAGCAGGGGACCUUCGGGCCUUGUGCUACUAGAGCGGCUGAUGGCAGAUCAGGUAGUUGGUGGGGUAAAGGCUACCAAGCCUGCGAUCUGUAGCUGGUCUGAGAGGACGACCAGCCACACUGGGACUGAGACACGGCCCAGACUCCUACGGGAGGCAGCAGUGGGGAAUUUUGGACAAUGGGCGAAAGCCUGAUCCAGCCAUGCCGCGUGCAGGAUGAAGGCCUUCGGGUUGUAAACUGCUUUUGUACGGAACGAAAAGGUUUGGCCUAAUAAGCUGAGCUCAUGACGGUACCGUAAGAAUAAGCACCGGCUAACUACGUGCCAGCCGCCGCCGUAA
rnacentral:rRNA from 1 species